rnacentral:lncRNA from 1 species
CCUUAGUUCUUAUAGAAGUAUACGAUGAUUCUUUACAAGAUAUGGAGGAAUUGAUCUAUUCUUGAGCAUAGAAGCGAUUAUUCAUAAGGUCAGAAGUCACUAUAAAAGAUCUUGAUGUGAAGGGACAUCUGCACAAUGAACGAUCCCUCCAUUAAAAGAGACGAAUAAACUCUUUGAACAGAAUAUGAAGUCGAAGAAAGGAUCCGAAGGCAUAUAACUAGGAUAUCCAAAAAGAAUAAUACCAAUUCUUAGGAAUGGAAACGAAUGGAGGAAUACAACUGCAAUUUUGGUAAAUUCAACCGGAUUAUACUCACAUUUUCUAGUUACAAUUUGAACAAAAUAUGGAAUAUUUUGACUAGAUUUUGGAAAUCAAGAAGCAUGAAAUAGAUUUAAGUAUAGUUUAGGUUAUUAAUAUUGUAUUAAUAUAUUCAUUUAUAGAUGAAAGUCUACAUUAUAAGGAAAAUUUUGGUGUUGCUGAAAAGAGCUAUGC